AACGAACGUUAGCGGCGCGCUUAACACAUGCAAGUCGUGCGAGAAAGGGGCAACCCCGGUAAAGCGGCGCACGGGUGAGUAACACGUAGGUAAUCUACCCCCAGGUGGUGGAUAACCUUCCGAAAGGAGGGCUAAUACAGCAUGAGACCACGGUUUCGAAAGGGACUGAGGUCAAAGCCGGCCUCUUCAUGAAAGCUGGCGCCAGGGGACGAGCCUGCGGCCCAUCAGCUAGUUAGUAGGGUAAUGGCCUACCAAGGCGAAGACGGGUAGCUGGUCUGAGAGGAUGAUCAGCCACACUGGAACUGAGACACGGUCCAGACUCCUACGGGAGGCAGCAGUGGGGAAUCUUGCGCAAUGGGCGAAAGCCUGACGCAGCGACGCCGCGUGAGUGAUGAAGGCCUUCGGGUUGUAAAGCUCUGUGGAGGGGGACGAAUAAGGGUUGGCUAACAUCCAGCCUGAUGACGGUACCUCUUUAGCAAGCACCGGCUAACUCUGUGCCAGCAGCCGCCGUAACAC
rnacentral:rRNA from 1 species